AAAAAAUAAAAAGGAGAGCAACUUGUCCAAAUUUCUUCUGAAUUGUUGACUUAAUAAGUCGACCAUGCUUUGGCUAUAUAAGGAGAUUGAUUCACCAUUUUGAUGGUAGCCUAAUUUUGUGAGAGAGAACAAUUAGAAAGAAUUUUUAUCUAACCUUUGUGAGGUUUUGGAUGUAAUUGAGUUUGAAUAACUUGUAAAAAAGAAAAAUAAUUAGUGUUUAUA
rnacentral:misc_RNA from 1 species